rnacentral:rRNA from 1 species
GAUGAACGCUAGCUACAGGCUUAACACAUGCAAGUCGAGGGGAAACGAUAUUGGAAGCUUGCUUCCGAUAGGCGUCGACCGGCGCACGGGUGAGUAACGCGUAUCCAACCUGCCCGUCACUUGGGAAUAACCUUGCGAAAGUAAGACUAAUGCCCAAUGACAUUUAUAGAAGGCAUCUGAAAUGAAUUAAAGAUUUAUCGGUGAUGGAUGGGGAUGCGUCUGAUUAGCUUGUUGGCGGGGUAACGGCCCACCAAGGCAACGAUCAGUAGGGGUUCUGAGAGGAAGGUCCCCCACAUUGGAACUGAGACACGGUCCAAACUCCUACGGGAGGCAGCAGUCGGGAAUAUUGCGCAAUGGAGGAAACUCUGACGCAGUGACGCCGCGUAUAGGAAGAAGGUUUUCGGAUUGUAAACUAUUGUCGUGAGGGAAGAAAUUGACAGUACCUCAGGAGGAAGCUCCGGCUAAACUAUGUG